AGUCACUAUUUGGUCCCUUUUUUCGUCAGCUUUGGUCACUAAAGUCACUAUAUUGAGUGGCUUCGGUCACUACCAGCCCUGUAAGAAGAAAGAACCAGGAACCAAUAACCGGGACGUGAUUGUCCCGAAGAACCGAUUAAAAAUUCAUGCAACCCAGAAGAGCUCACGAGACCAGCACCGCCAGAGGCGCUAGUGUAUUUUACUCACAUUUUGGUAAAUUUAUUUGAAAGUGUUUUGGUAAGUGUAGACUUUUUUGCUGUGAGUUUUGACAGAUUUCUGUCUGAGGUAAUAACCUCAAUCUUUGCGUUUAUUUUAUUUACGGUUCCCGGUCCCAAAAAUCCGGCCAAGUUUCUCUUUCGUACACCGUCGCAGAACGAUUCCGAACUCGAUCCUGGAAUCAAUUAUCUCAAUCUACCCGUAAUGGUCUUAUCUUUAAAUCUUUAAAAAAUGAACAAAGCGGCUAUCCUCGAUGUGGUCUACAGUCCAGCGAAAUCGAUGCUACUGCUGAGUCGUGAGCUCAAUUUUAUCGCUUGGACGGUGAAAUAGUUCUGGCGGAGGUAUACAAAGCGGAAUUUGUUACGCAAGAACUGGACCGGUGUAUGAACCACCCGCAGAACCGCAGCUACUACAGCGCUACCUCAAGGCUCGGGCUGACUAGAGUUCAAACGUGUUGGUGCUAUAUGCCCUGCGUCGGAAGUGCAAAGUGGACUAAUACACUGCGGUGAUGGAAAGUUACUGCAAACGAGAGUUACCAGGGAAGCUCUGGAGGAGUUUAACUUCACCGCUAUCGGAGAACUCCGCCUUUGGAUCUCUUUUAUUUUUGCAUUUAUCCGGAACAUCACCGACAAGCGCUCCCUAACGUAGCUGGACGAUGGAGCAAGUUGCCACUCAAUUACCCAUUGCAACCGGACACGAUGAUCUGUUUGCGUCCAGCGAAGUCAUAGCGGAAUCACAAACUUGACGACUACUUUGUUACAAUUCCCCAUCAAGGAAGACUUACAAUGGAACAGCUAACAGCAUAUAAUUUCAGCAAGGCUUCACAGCACGAAAAUAAUUGAAUGCCAUUAGUGUUACCUAAUUUUACGUGGAAUCAAGGCACAAACCUUCUGCACCGCACAGUAAAAGUGUAAAAGUAGAAUUCGCAGCUCCUUAGAAGAUAACGAAUACGCUGGAUGUACCGAAAUUGUCCCAACAACAUGACGACUCGAAAUGUGAAAGAAACAUCGCCAAGUAACUAGUCCAUUUCAUAAAGGUAGUUGAUUAAUAUAAAUAUGUCUAUCGAACACAUUGAAAACCCGAGAUUCAUGAACAAGUUUUUACAGAAAGAUUUAAAAAUUAUCAAUAAAUUAUCAAUUAUGCUAUUGCUAAUGAAUUGCUCUGAACAUGGGUCAUAGAAGAGAUGAUCCAAAGCGCAAAAGGCUGUCGAGAAUGUUAUAGUAUAUGCUAUAUAUUUUUUUAUUUAUCGUACUAACUAUGCUAAGUAGUUGGAUAGUAAGGGAGAGAAGUAAGAAAGAAAAAGGAAGUAGGAAAAGUAAGAUAAAGAUGUAAGAAGGAAUAAUGAUGUAGCAAGAACAAGCAAGGAAGAAGUAAAUGGCAGAAGGAUGAGAGAAGACGAAAGAAGGAAGAAAGAAAAAAAUGAAAGAUUGAAGAAAAAACAUAGAAGAAAGAAGAAGGAAAAAGUAAGAUAAAGAUAAGAUAAGAACCAUCGACACAGUUUGCUGUUUGUUCCAAGUUCUACAAUUGCAAAACCUGCGGUGCAUCGUAUGGCCUGGAAGAACUUGUACGAAAGCUAAUUGGCCAUGUGGCACAAAAUAAAACCCUAUUCCCGAACAUAAAAUGUGUGCCCACCGCCUCCAACACCGGCUUGCAGCAACGGAAGAUAAGGUUAUAGCUAGCACAUUAAAUAAUAUUGUCGCGUAAAAUGCACGAUGACAUUUAUUCAAUAAAUAUUAUAUUUACAAUUAUAUUCA